rnacentral:lncRNA from 1 species
UAGUGUCCUUCUUUAUCUUUCUUUAUGGUCUUUGCUUUAAAGUUUGUUUUGUCUGAUAUGAGUAUUUCCACUCCUGCUUUCCUGUCAUUUCCAUUUGCAUGAAAUGUCUUUUUCCAUCUCCUCACUUUCCAUCUAUGUGUAUUCUUUGCCCUAAGGUAGGUCUCUUAUAGGCGGCAUAUUGUAGGCUUUUUUUUUUUUUUUUUUUCUUUUUCUUUCCUCUCUUUCUUUAGGGCCACUCCUGCAGCUAGGGGUCGAAUCAUAGCUGUAGCUGCUGACCAGUGCCACAGCCAUAACAAUGCAGGAUCUGAGCCACGUCUGUGACCUACACCAUAGCUCACAGCAAUGCCAGAUGCUUAACCUACUGUGUAGGCUCUUGUUUUUUUAAUCCAGUCUGCCACUCUAUGUCUUUUGAUUGGAGCAUCAAAAAACAUUGACAUUUAAGGUAAUUAUUGAUAGAUAAGUAUUUAUUGCUAUUUUAAAAUCUUGUUUUCCAGUUGAGUGUGUUUCUCCUUUGUUCCUUUCUUUUUCUUUUUUGUGGUUUAAUGAUUUCCUUUUAUUUUAUGCUUGUGUGCUCAUCUUUUUGGUUUUUAUGAAUCUAUUGUUUGUUUUUGAUUUGUAGUUGCCCUGUUUUUUAAGUAUGUUAACCCCUUCCUAUAUCUGCUUGCUUUAGGCUGAUAGUCUUAUAGGCUCAAACACAUUCUAAAAAAAAAAGAGUCUAAAUUUUCUUAUGCUCCUUCCUUACAUUUUAUGAUUUUGAUGUCCUUUUUUAUAUCUUCAUGUUUAUUCCUUUGUUGUUCUUUAAGUUUAUCAUCACAUUCACAAGUAUAUUUUUUGUUUUUGUUUCUUUUUUAGCCUUGUACCAGCUUGUUUACAUGAUUACUUUCCAAGUGUGAUUUCCUCCAUCUUAUAUCUUCUUAUUUCUUUCCUAUUUAGAGGAGGCCUUUCCAUCUUUUAAAUGAUAGGUUUAAUAGUUCUUUAUUCUUUUAGUUUUUGCUUGUCUGGGAAAUUCUUUAUUUCUCCUAUUUUAUUUUAUUUAUUUUUUAUUUAUUUAUUUUUUUGUCUUUUUUCCAUUUCUUGGGCCGCUCCUGCGGCAUAUGGAGGUCCCCAGGCUAGGGGUCUAAUCGGAGUUGUAGCCGCUGGCCUACACCACAGCCACAGCAACACCAGAUCUGAGCCACAUCUGCGACCUACACCACAGCUCACAGCAACUCCAGAUCCUGAACCCACUGAGCAAGGCCAGGGAUCAAACCCGCAACCUCCUGGUUCCUAGUGGGAUUUGUUAACCACUGAGCCAUGACAGGAACUCCCCAAUAGAUCUUGUAUAUUGCUUUUGUGUUUUAUCAUUUGGCUAUUUGCUGUCCUGAUUGGGUGGUUUCCGUUAUUCUAUCUUCCAAGUCACUUAUUCAUUCCUCUGCAUUAUUCAUUCUGCUGUUCAAUGUCCUAGCUCAGCAUUUAUCUCAGUAAAUAAAUUUUCUAAUUUUUCUUAGCUCCUCCUUAUAGUUUUUAGUUCCUUUUAAGAGUAACUGCAUUACUGUCAAUAGCCUUUCUUAAUUCCUUCAGUAUUUUCUUUACCUUCUUCCUUCUUCAGAGGAAUUCUGUCCUUUUAACUGGGAAUGGCUCUUGUGGUUCUUCAUUUUGCUUAUAUUUUUCUUACUCUGUGAGUUUAGGGAAAACAAUUAUCUACUGUAGUCUUGGAGGGCUAUUUAUAUGCAGAAGUGUCCCUGAGUGGCUUGUGUGGGUUUACUGGGUUUUUUUGCCUGAGGAUUGCUUUUGGUUUGGAUGCUUGCUGCCUAUUUCCUCAGUGUGUGCAGGGUAUUAUCCUCUUGACAGGGGGCAUGCAGGUGCAUGGCUUGUGCUUGCUUCCAGGGAGGUGGGGGCAGUGGGUGGUGCCUGCAGGCGCACCUGGUUGCUGGGCCCUUGGCAGUGGUGGCAACCCACAGGGAGGUAUGGGCUGCAGAUUUCGACUGCUUGCAGAGCCCUUGGCAGUGGCAGUGACCCACAGGGAGGUGUCACUUGGGGCCCUUGGCAGUGGCAACAGUGGGGCAUGCAUGUUCCCAGGGGGGUGGGGGCAAUGGACGGUGCUAAGUUGUAGGACUCUCUGUGGCCGCAACCCCUGGGGUGACUGUGGCAGCAGACAGUGCUUGGUCACAGGACCCUCAGUUGUAGUGGCCUGCACCCACUUCUGGAGUCCAAGAUGGCUGCAGCAGUUUGCACGCACCCCUGUAGCCUGCACAAGAGGUGCCUACCACCUGAGAGCCCAUGGGUGCAUUGAGAAAGAAGUUCCUAUGGCAGUCCUGCCCUCCUCCUCUCACACUGAAAAUAAGCGUCUUUAUAAAAAUAAUAAAUACUCAUGUAGUUUUUACUGAGUGCUUUAUUUGUGUUAGUUUAUUUAGUCCACACAACAGCUCUAUUAUUAUCACCCUCAUUUUACAUAUGAGUAAACUGAAGUAUAAAGAGAUUGAAUAACUUGUUAGAGGUCAAGCAUUUAAUAAGUUGGCAAAGACAAAAGUCAAACUCGUGUGGUUUGGUCCCAGAGCCUGUGUUCUUAACCUAUGUAUUGUAUUGACUCUCCACAAUAUGGAAUCUGCUCAUCUAUAAUGGACAUGCCUUUCAAUUUGCUUCUACCACUCCGUCAUGUUCCAGUCUCCAUCUUUAUCCUUUGUCAGUGAGCAGAUACCCACUUUAUCCUCCCUUUUCCUUCCAUAGCUGAUUGGACCAGGAAUAGGUGGAAAACUGAUUCAAACUGGUCAAUCAUAUUCUCUCUUGAGAAACUUUGCAAUUAGUCUUACCUGGUCUCUUGACCUAGAAAGUGAUGACACAGGGGUAAAGCAGGAAGAGACGUUUGACCCACAUACAGGUAGAACAGAGAAAGCAGGCCUGCAGAGAGCAGUAGAUACACAGAGAGAAGCAGUGUUCAGAAGACCUAUGAUCCCAGAAGAAGGUGGUAGGGUAAUUGCCUGGGCUUUGGAGCUUUCCAUGUCCUGGUUUGCCUUACUAUGGCCUUAUUGCCCUUUCUGCUCUUGGGGAUCUACGGAAGUUACCUCUCUUCAAAUAAAUUUCCUUCAGUUUAAAGUCACCUGAAUGAAAAAAAAAAA